rnacentral:rRNA from 1 species
GACGAACGCUGGCGGCGUGCUUAACACAUGCAAGUCGAACGGAAACGCCCUGCUUUUGUGGGGUGCUCGAGUGGCGAACGGGUGAGUUACACGUGAGUAACCUGCCCUUGACUUUGGGAUAACUUCAGGAAACUGGGUCUAAUACCGGCUAGGAGCUCCUGCUGCUUGGUGGGGGUUGGAUAGUUUAGGUGGUUGGGGAUGGACUCGCGGCUUAUCAGCUUGUUGGUGGGGUAGUGGCUUACCAAGGCUUUGACGGGUAGCCGGCCUGGGCGGGUGACCGGCCACAUUGGGACUGAGAUACGGCACAGACUACUACGGGAGGCAGCAGUGGGGAAUAUUGCACAAUGGGAGGAAGCCUGAUGCAGUACAGCCGCGUGGGGGAUGACGGCAUUCGGGUUGUAAACCGCUUUCGCCUGUGACGAAGCGUGAGUGACGGUAAUGGGUAAAGAAGCACCGGCUAACUACGUG